GCUCUCUCCCCCACACACUCACACGGGGAGCGACGCUUACCCCGCCCGCCCCUUAGCCGCACAGGCCCGGCCCCUUAAAGAGACACGCGCCCGCCGCGCCUCCGCCGCCAGUCGGCGCGCCGGCAGCUGCCGGUAGCCCUCUGAGAGGAGCGGCGGGGGGAACAGCUGUGUGAAGCCCGCCGACCCGGCCCGACUUCGCCUGCGACUUCCCGGAACAAUAAGCCCCGGGCCCUAGCGCUGCUGGCCCAGCUCGGGGCGGAAAGCUGCUGCGCCGCGACCCCCGCCUCAGACUCGCUGUGGCGGCUGGGGCGCUGAGGUGUGACACGGCGCGUCUCAGUGUUGUUUGCGGGCGAACAGCCCGAGCCCGCCCAGACACUACGAGCCUUCCUGCCCCGCCGCCCUCGAAGACCUGCCCUCCCGGAGCGCCGAAGUCCUCAGCGGCGCCGAGGGCCCCUCCCCUGGGCUUGCGGGCUCUGAGGAAGCUCUCCUGCUCUUAGACUGAAAACCUGGCUGCUCUGUGUCUAGACAGUAGAAGUUCUGGAGAUGAACAGUGCUGAUGGUUGCACAACAUUGUGAAGCCUUUGCCCCCUGCUCAAGAAUUCUCCUCUUCUGACCCUCCUUCCUGGGAUCCUAGGUGUGGCCUGGGGCCCAAGCCUCGAUCUGCUGUCACACUGAUUGCCUGACUGCAGCACAGAGGGGUGACCGCCCUGCCUGAAGAGGCAGGAGGGGGCCAGUCCUGCACAGGACAGUUUGCUACCGGCAGCUUUGACCCAUGUCCUUUCACAAGGAAAAGGGAAGACUGAGAACAGAGUCAGUAUGGGCUCCACUAGGACCACCCUAAAGCCCGACUCCAGAAGCUCCAGCAUACUUCAAUCCACCAGGGUCACCGCCCUCUCCAUGUAGCCUGUGCCUCCAGGAUGUCACCCUCAUCCUCUCCAGCCACUACACAAAGCAUCACCUUUCCCCGCUGACAGUAAACUGUCAGCUCUUCAAGACAGCUUUGUGUUUCUGUUGGACCACUGACGUGUCCCAGGUGCUUCAAAAAGUGCCCGGCACAUAACACAAGGAGAAAGUGGCCAUCUACAGGUCAGGAAGGCAGUGUUCACCAGGAACCAUUCCUGCUGGACCUUGAUCUGAGACUUCCAGCCUCCAGGAGGGUGAGAAACAGAUGUCUGCAUAGUGUAAGCCCCUCAGUCCAUAGUGUUUGGUUCUAGCAGCCUGACCCGACUGAGGGCCAGAGAAGACACACGAAAGCAUGCACAAGCCUGGGAGGCAAGGGGAAGAAGCAGAGAAGAGGGAGAGGCCGCCAAACGUACCUAGAGGAGGAGCUGGGGAGAAAGCAGAGGCGAGGUGGCUGGGGCAGGGCAGAGGCCUGUGGCCAGGGCUUUGCUUAUGGGGGGCACAUAGUUAAUAAUCACACACCCACCUUCAGGCCCAACGCAAAAGCUUGGGAACACAGGAUGACAAGAUAGCCCCUGCUCCUCAAUCAGAGAGGCUGAAGGAAAGGGAAGACCUCACAGGAGAGGCCCUCCACCUGAGGCUUCAAGGCGAUGAAGGAUUCUGCCAGCUGGUUCAGGGAUGGUGGGACAUGAUAGGUUGCCCCCGGUAGAGGCCAAAGCUUAGGCAAAGCCUCUGAGGAGGGAGCAGAAUGGCAUGGGAGACAUGAGAGGGCACUGUGCUUGAUUUUG